AUACCCCCUCGCGGGUUUUUUAUAAUCUGAGCCUUCUCGGCGCCUCUCGUAGGCGUUUCGAAAAUGAAUCAAAACUUUCAACAACGGAUCUCUUGGUUCUGGCAUCGAUGAAGAACGCAGCGAAAUGCGAUAAGUAAUGUGAAUUGCAGAAUUCAGUGAAUCAUCGAAUCUUUGAACGCACAUUGCGCCCGCCAGUAUUCUGGCGGGCAUGCCUGUCCGAGCGUCAUUUCAACCCUCGAACCCCUCCGGGGGGUCGGCGUUGGGGAUCGGCCCUCCCUUAGCGGGUGGCCGUCUCCGAAAUACAGUGGCGGUCUCGCCGCAGCCUCUCCUGCGCAGUAGUUUGCACACUCGCAUCGGGAGCGCGGCGCGUCCACAGCCGUUAAACACCCAACUUCUGAAAUGUUGACCUCGGAUCAGG
rnacentral:rRNA from 1 species